rnacentral:rRNA from 1 species
GACGAACGCUGGCGGCGUGCUUAACACAUGCAAGUCGAACGGAAAGGCCUGCUUUCCCUUGUGGAUUGCGGGUACUCGAGUGGCGAACGGGUGAGUAACACGUGAGUGAUCUGCCCCCAACUUGGGUAUAAGCCUGGGAAACUGGGUCUAAUUCCCGAUAGGACUGCAGGGUGGUGCCGGUGGUGGAAAACGAUUUUCUAGUGGUUGGGGAUGAGCUCGCGGCCUAUCAGCUUGUUGGUGGGGUAAUGGCCUACCAAGGCGGCGACGGGUAGCCGGCCUGGGAGUGUGGACAGCCGCAUUGGGACUGGGAUACGGCUCCGACGCCUACCGGCGGCAGCAGUGGGGAAUAUUGGAGCAUGGGCGGAAGCCUGAUGCAGCGACGCCGCGUGGGAGAUCUCGGCCUUCGGGUUGUAAGCUCCUUUCGACCGCGAGGAAGCCACCUGGUUGGACGGGUGGUGACGGUAGUGGUAGAAGAAGCACCGGCUAACUACGUG